UACGUAGGGUGCAAGCGUUGUCCGGAAUUAUUGGGCGUAAAGAGCUCGUAGGCGGUCUGUCACGUCUGCUGUGAAAACUCAGGGCUUAACCCUGAGCUUGCAGUGGGUACGGGCAGACUAGAGUGCGGUAGGGGAGACUGGAAUUCCUGGUGUAGCGGUGAAAUGCGCAGAUAUCAGGAGGAACACCGAUGGCGAAGGCAGGUCUCUGGGCCACUACUGACGCUGAGAAGCGAAAGCAUGGGGAGCGAACAGG
rnacentral:rRNA from 1 species